AUACCUUUCUCGGCCUUUUGGCUAAGAUCAAGUGUAGUAUCUGUUCUUAUCAGUUUAAUAUCUGAUACGUGAGCCAUUGGUUCAAAUGAUAUUAAAUUUAUUUUUUGCAAGGGAUGAUCUGUUUCGGUAGCUUGCUACUAUGAUCAUCAAGCGUCGCUUGUGUUUUGCACUACUGCACAGGCCUGGCGCGCCCUCC
rfam:Ricinus communis cultivar Hale ctg_1100012344740, whole genome shotgun sequence.